UGCGGCGCUGCCGCAAAGCGGAACAAAAGCGCGGGCGCUCCUCCCCUCCCCCUCCACUUGUGCUUUUAAUUUGGGAAAGGAAGACGGGGCGAUGGUAGUCGAGGCGUUUCUCCUCGCUCCUCGCCCCUCCUGCCCGCGCCGUUAGCCUUUCCCGCGGCGCCGUUUCUGCGGCGGGCCGAGCGGGGCUGCUGCGCGGCCGGCGCGGUUACGUCCGGCUGUGAAAAAAAGGCGCGUUUCCGUGUGGGUUCUGUUUGUGCCCGGCUCCGCGCCCGGCGCUUGGCUGAGGACGCACCGCUGUACUAAAGAAAAAAACCGCUAAAUGAGCUUUUGUGCGCGCUUUGCUCGAGCAGUCUGUGCAUUACCGUUUGUUUUGCUUUAUGAUGGGAUGGUUGGGCUGGUCUCGUUUGUAGCUCUCCAUGAAAGCCUGUUAUAUUUGCUACUGUAGGUAUGAUGAUAUUCUGAUCAAUGGACUACCAGAUUGGCGACAGCCUGUAUUCUACUACAGGCGGGUGAGAAAAAUGAGCAAUGCUGAGCUGGCAUUACUCUUGUUCAUUAUACUCACAGUGGGUCAUUAUGCUGUGGUUUGGUCAAUCUACCUGGAAAAACAGCUGGAUGAACUGCUUAGCAGAAAAAAGAGGGAGAAGAA